GCGCGAAAACUUUACAAUGCUGGCAACAGCGAUAAGGGAACCUCGAGUGCCAGGUUACAAGUCUGGCUGUCGAGAUGCCUAAAAAGCAUUUCAUAGCAAGGGCCGGGCAAGACCGGUGCCAGCCGCCGCGGUAACACCGGCGGCUCGAGUGGUAACCGUUAUUAUUGGGUCUAAAGGGUCUGUAGCCGGCCGGAUAAGUCUCUUGGGAAAUCUGGCAGCUCAACUGUCAGGCUUUCAGGAGAUACUGUCUGGCUCAAGGCCGGGAGAGGUGAGAGGUACUUCAGGGGUAGGGGUGAAAUCUUGUAAUCCUUGAAGGACCACCAGUGGCGAAGGCGUCUCACCAGAACGGACCUGACGGCAAGGGACGAAAGCUAGGGGCACGAACCG
rnacentral:rRNA from 1 species